ACAGCUCUAGCUUUGCACCUAUCAGUUACCAAAAGGUACCCAGCCACGUACAUUCAAUUAUCUGAUGGGGGGCUCGGUGUCUGAACAUGCCCAGCAAUAUUCACUCUUUUGGAUUUUCUCUUCUCCCUUCUCAGGGACUCAGGGAAUCCUGCACAGAAGCUACUGAACAGCCACAGUCCAACACAAGUGCUAAGCCGCUGCAUGCUCUGCCCUGCAGCGCCUCGGCCUCCACUGCCCGGCUCGGCAGCUGGGGGUCACGAGCGUUGGCUUGCGGGGAAAUCCAGCAGCCCGGGGGCCAGCUCGGGGCAGGAAGUACCGACCACCACGGCUCGGCAGGCACCGCGAGGCAGGACUCCGCUCCCAGUCACAGGUCUGCGCAAUGACCCAGCCCGCGGCCCUCUCUGGACUCUGCCGAGCUCAGGAGACCCUCUGGACACUGUAGCCGGGAGGAAGAGCGCAGCUGGCUUGAAGCUCUGUUGCACCGACUCUGCCAAAUGAACCCCUCAAACUGCUUGCUCUCUCCUGGUGAGCCCCAGCGACUUCCAGGUGUUGCCCCUCUGUGGACGUGAAAUCCUGGACCCGUUCCACACUUGACAAAUAUCCUCAUGAUUUGCUUUUCCACCUGACUGUUCUGGAGUUUACUGUAAAGCCUCAGAAGAGCGCGUGUUAAUAUUUAACCAUCUGCUGCUCUAUCAGACAACCGGCAUCUUGCAAGCACUUCUUUGUUCCCCUGGUAAUCUCCUCGCGGUUAAACCGAGCCAUCCUGCCUGGGCGCUCUGCUCCCCUCCAGGUUUACAGGAGGGGAGUACUGUGGUCCCUGCUGUGGUACUCCAUCGUGAGUGGACGUUUUAUGGUCUUUUCCCUAUAUACCUGCUUCCCCAUUCAUUUAAAACGGAUUACACAAUUAUGAAAAAGAUGCUUUCUACUUCCACACUGCCAUUUCAGUCAUUCUUCAGAUUUUACCUAGCUUUGUGUAAUAUCGAGACCUUCAUCCCAGAGGCAGAGCUACCUAGUAGUUAGAAAGGGGAAAGGGCUCAGACUUGGUUACUGUGAUUUUGUGAAGCACUCGGAUCUGCGAAAGAAAGGCUUGAAGAACAAAUGAACAAAGCUACUCCCUUCGCCUUCCCCAGCUCAAUCCUCCCCGGCUCUUCGGUUUCAUUAGUUCUGCGCAACACAACGUUAAGACGCUUUCUGUUCCAGUCUCAGCAAAAUGGUGGACUUGUCCACAGUGACUAAGGAGGAAGCCAUGUCCAGCUUUGUUCAAUGGCUAAUGAUCAACAAGCACUCAGAGAGACAGGCUGGCAUUUUAGUUUGGACAGGAGACCGAGCUUCGGGAGAAAGGCAGACAUGGGAGUCACCCAAACAGGGAUGAACACGUGAACUGUCUCCAGAUGAGAUCGGCCUGCAUCCUCUCUGGGUAAAGGGAGGAAGAAGAUCGAGGACACUGGCUUAGUGACCACCUCCCUCCCUGCCCCUGCAGAGAAGUGGAGACGUGGAGGAGAAUCCCCCGUGGGACAUGCCGAAGGAGUAAUGAGAGUCAGGAGAGAGCCAGGAGGAGACUGCAUCAGGGAAGGCAAGGACGGACAGCAUUUCAAGAAUGAUUGCACAAGUGAGCGCAGAACAACACACCGCCGAAGCAAACACAAGGGGUUGCGAAAACGUCUUGUCUGGCCAAACGUGCCAGGGCUCCGCCACGAGGGCUAGACAGACCUGUCCGUGAGCGGCCCCUUCGCCCAGAUCCCCUCGGAUCGGAUAAGUGCUGCUCUCUUCCGCUUCCUGCCUGGCAUCCUCCUUUUCUCCCCAGGGCAACGUCUGUGUCCAGUCGCGACGCCAAGACGCAUUGUUACGUAGCCUAUUACAUGUUUCCGACUGUAUCUGCACGCAGUUUGAAAUGCAGCAAGCAAAUGGUGCCCUUUCCUUUCCUUUUUCGUGUCCUCGUGACAAGGGAGCUAGCAGGAUUUGUAGGUCGAUUGGAAUCGGGCAGUCCGCGCCGUGAGCACUUCUGCUACAGCCUCAAACUUGCAACCGCCGGGCUGUCAAGUGUGCGCCCGAGCAGCACGCCACCCCAGUCCCCGAGGUGCUCUGGCGGGGGGCGGUUACAGGGAUCUGGGCAGUGAGGAGAGGCGGCCAGGCGGGGACUGCCAGCACCAUGCUGCACCCAGCCACGCGUCAGACUUCCCCUGCGCUAUUCACCAUCAUCCUCGCAGGUCCAACAAUUUAGCAAGAUCUUUUUGGGAACUGUAGCCAGCUGCACAAGGGAAUAUCUGGCGGCAGACCGUGGCUGUGCCACACAGCUAUUCACUGCACACCAAAACUACCUCUUUUUUUCCCCUCUCUCUUUAAACAUUAGCAAAACACAUCAACUGUCCUAGUGUAUGGACAUCUGGUGUCCUACCAAACACUCUCUGGACAUGGCAUCUCUGUCCCUCCACAGCUGGUCCCCAGCUACAGGGUUUCACCUCCUGGCGAGAGACUGGCUGCGGGACUCGGCGGCAGAGGGAGGGACGAGGCCGAGCGUUCAGCAGCAGCCCUGAAGGGAGGCAGCCAGCAGCCGAUUCGAGAGCCCGGUAGUGCAGCUGCACCCCGUGGAAGCAGCCCACGCAUGGAAGGACUUGCCACGGGCCUAAAACACGGAUGCUCCUGUAGCAGACUAUUCUGAACAAGAGCACGGAGACUUGCCAAACACACGUGUAUCUACGCUCGCUUGGUGACAUUCAGAGUCAUAGGUUUUAAGGCUAGCAAGGACCACAGUGAUAAACCAGUCUGACCUACUAGACAACACGGGCCAAAGGUCUUUCCAAUGUAUUCCUGCUUGGGCAAACCCCCACAUACUUUAGAAACAGUCUCCACCCUUGCUUUAGAUACUUGGAGAGUUCAAGUAACACAGAAUUCACCACAAACCUCAGUUGUUUCCGAAGCCAAUUACUUUCCCUACAAAAAUGACAUUUCAUUUUUAUCCAAGUUUCUCUAGCCUCAGCCUCAGCCCAUGGAAAAAUUAUGCUUUUUAAACUAUUGAUUUUUACAUUGUGUCUCAGUUUUUCUUGCUCAUUCAGGAGACGGCCGCGACACUCCAGACACAACCCGACCUGGUCCCAUCUUAGCAACCUGCUGGGUAGGGGCCUCUGCAACACUGGGGAAGCAAACACCUUCUGAAGCUGCAUGGGAUGCCACGGCGUGCCCAGAUACUCUGCUACGUUAUUUGCACAGCAAUUAUUGGCAAAUGAUGCUCAGAGCCAUGAUUUUAACAGUAAUAUUAAUCUUCCUAGUUUCAGGGGGGUUGCAGUGCCCUCGUAGAGCCAGCCGCUGCCGAAGAACAAACAGGAUCUGCAAUCCUUAGAGGCAAUGCCUGCGUCCAGUGAAGAAGCCUCGCUGCGGGCCAGCAAUGCGAACUUCCUCCCCAGGUGGUGCACAGGCCCCGGGGACACGCGAGCUCUGCAGACACGUUCUGUCGCUCCAAAAAAUUCCCCAUCAAGCUCCACUGCGAGUCGCACCCGUGCCCACACCACUGCUGCCAAGACAAGCCUGCUCUCUACCCACUACGCUAUGCUGCCUCCACACAAGACAAAACGCUCCGUAGCAGUAACUGCAGUCCUGCUUAAUCCUCUUGAUUAACAAAGGGGACACAGACUGGGAGCUGUACCUCCCCUUCACAUUGAAAGCAUUCUUCGCGCUAGCUCACUGAACGCCUGCUGUAAUCCUCACUGCUGACUAAGCCUAAAGUUUGUUCCAAACUGAAACCUGGAGUUCCUCGUUAUCAGAGAGAUCAGAGCCUGCCGAAAAGUGACACGCUCGUCUCCAACUGAUCACCUCCGCGUAGCAGCACGCCGUGGGGAAUUAACUCCCGCUUUUGCUAGCACAGCUAUUCUCUCCUGAGGGCUUGCUCAGGGUACUGUCCUGCCCACACACAAGCACGAGCCAGUGACUCUCAACCAGGUGCCGCAGCACCCUAGGGUGUUUGAGAUCUUUUCACGGGUGCUGCGAGGUGUCACACAAUGCUAGCGAGCACUGUUAGACAUGCAAACAGGAUUCACAAGAUAAACCCAGAGAUUUUAAGCAGGAAUGCACAAGGUCCAAAACGUUCUGCCCUGUCGCGGAUGUCCCGAGUUCUCCGAAACAGAAGACUUGCUCUGUUGUUUUUCUGGGCUCCAAAAAACAAGUGAAAAUGAAGAGCUGGCACUUUCCGAGCGUGGUUGCGAGUCUAACAACGGGUGCCUAAAAAGGGCGAGAAUCACCACAGCGAGCAGGCCGAAAGCCUGACAUCUUGUGCUCUGCAGAGCAAGUGUCACAUUUGCUACAGAUGUCUGCUUUUAAAGAGAGUUUUCCUAAUUGUGUGCGAAGCCAGUGACCUGUUACUUAAGGCUCAAUGAAGGAGCCGAAUGUUACACAAGUCAUGUAAACAGCUGGGGAGAUAAGAUUAAUGUAAUGUGGAAGAGAAAGUCAUCUACACUCGACAUAUUUCUCUUCUCUCCGGGAAUUCGGCACGGUACAUGGGCAGAAGCCCUUUUCCCCAGAGUCGGCUGGCGAGACUGCCGUUGCACACCCACCGUCAGGGCCCCGGCAGAGCUGCACGCUUUGCACGUACCCCGCAGGUCUGCCAUCCGUCAGUCUGCAGGACAGGAACACAGGGGAUCGCUUUUUAAAGCCCGUUUCACCUGCGGGUUAACUAACAAGGCCCAAUGGCCUGGAGCCGAGUGAGACUUCCAGGCCGCCAGACACUGCAGCGAGGAGCUCUACUUCCUCUCUGGCUUUUUUUGGGAGCUUCUGAGGGGUACUUGCAAGGGAGCGCUGCGCUGAAGCUGUGUACACACUUACAGCACAGUCAGCCUCGGUGGAGAGACGCGGCAUUUAGGAAAAGGCAAAGGGAAAUCCAGCCCCUCUUGCCAGGACUGUCACUGAUUUCUGUGCUACCCGUAGCACAUCUGUUCUGUUUUGAGAGAGUCAAGCACCAUUUCUAUGCCGCUCAAGCUGUAAUUGAGGUUUCUAAGGGCAAUUAAGUAUUUAAAAAAAACCUCUCACUGUGCAAUGAAGUAACGCGAAUGCCUCCUAAUGCAACUGAGCUGGUAACGGCGAGAUGCCUCUACCUCCGCUGGUGGUUAAUGAGCUGCAGGUCUGCAAUAUUCUUACUUCUUUACAAAAAGAAAAAAAGUCAGAUACACUAAUAAAGCUUCCUGCUUCA